rnacentral:piRNA from 1 species
UAAAACCUCAAAAAGUGAUUCUUGUGAGUC